CCCUUAGAUGUUCUGGGCUGCACGCGCGCUACACUGAUGUGUCCAGUAAGCACCUAACCUCUUCCGAAAGGAACGGGUAACCUUUGCAAAGCACAUCGUGAUGGGGAUAGAUUAUUGCAAUUAUUAGUCUUGAACGAGGAAUUCCUAGUAAGCACAAGUCAUCAGCUUGUGUUGAUUACGUCCCUGCCCUUUGUACACACCGCCCGUCGCUCCUACCGAUUGAAUGUUCCGGUGAGCUCUUCGGACUGCGCGGUCUGCAGUUUCUGCGUUCCGUGCGGAAAGUUGCGCAAACCUUAACAUUUAGAGGAAGGAGAAGUCGUAACA
rnacentral:rRNA from 1 species